UUUGUGGCUCAAUCAACCUUAUCCCAACUGGAGAUAUUUGCUUAGGUGACCUUUUCUAAUAUAUCACUACAAGAAAUUGGGCCUAUGGGAACAGUUUGUUGGCAACGGUUGAUAUAACCGUUGCUAUAGAUGGUUGCUUAGGGUAUGGAUCCUGUUGAGACACUUUUGUAAGUAAACCGUUGCAGUAGUGUUAGAACCGUUCUAUUAGUCUUUUCUAUAGCGACGGUUUUCAUAACCAUCACAAUAGGUAUAUCUAUGGAAACGGAUAUCUUAAAAUAAAAUCUAUUGGGACGGUUCAGAUUCCCUCCUUAUUUUCCCCCUUCUAUUUUUCGCAAAACCCUAACCUUUUGAGUGGAGUUUUUUUAGUUGCUAAUAUUUCUAAGCCUGAUGAGAGACAAAGUAGUACUCUAAGACCUUUUGUUGCCAAGUCCAAAUCGAUAGUUGAAUCCAAAAUAUAGCAUCUUGAUAUAACACUCCUAAAGAAGAAUCCAUCAUUUUGAAGCGACAAAAUGGAGGUCUAUUCUGCCUAUGGAGGUCGCAAAUCUGGACUUCUAAAGAACAUAGAUUUUUCUUCUAUCGCUAGGUCCCAUUUCGCUGGUAAAGGUCGCCGAUCUGGGCUGCCAAAGAACUCAUUAUUUUAUUGCACAACUAGGUCUAUUAUCGAGCAAAGCCAACCCCAUUUCACAUUUAGUUCCUUUCGGGUUAGUGAUUUUCAUAUGUACUGCAGUUUUCUUUUUGGGGGUUUGGGGGUUUCUUCUAAUUUGUUCAAUUUUAUCUCAUCUAAAUAGUUAGUAGACUUGCUGGAUUAUCUCUUCCUACUCUGUAUGUAAAAUGAUUUUGAAUACCCAAUUUUCUAUUAGUGAGUUGUUUGCUUGGUUGUUUACUAAAAUUGUGCUUACUCAAAUCUGUCAUGCAUAUUAACUAUUCGACGAAAUACCGACCCAUUAGCAGUGGCUACUCAAAUCUUAUUUUUUGCUUAAAUGUAUCUCGAUUUACAAAUAUUGAUAUGUAAGCCUGAAUGCAAUCUUGAUGCUCUGUUCUCUUUAUAUGUUAAUCUAUUAGGAAGAAAAGAUAUUGACGAAUAUUAAGCUUUAGUGACCUUAUUUCAUUCAUGGUUGACCAAAUAAGAUAUUAUUAGUUAUAGUUCAUUUCGAAGUUGUACUCUUUUUAGUCUUUGAAUUAUCUAAUUUGUGGCUAUAUCAUCUUUUCAUUCGGAAAAAACACAAGAGUAAUUCCUUUUUUGGAAAUGGAAUAUGUCAUUAGUCAUCUAGAAAUAGAAAUUAGAAUUGCAUAUUGCAAUUGCUACUGAAAGUUUAAAGAUUUGUCAAAGUUAAAGUUUACUUUGAUGCUUUUUUAAACUUAGAAAGAUUAAAAAUUUUACACUCAUUAUGAGUAUAUGACAAAGAGAAAAGAUGAGUUCUAUCUAUUGGGGUAAUGCCUAAUGGUUUAACUUUAUUUUUCUCAGAUUUGAACAAGGAGGCUUGAAAUGGUCCCUUUUUCUAUUGAAAUGGUGUGAUUUACCUUUUCACUUCAUUCAUAUAAGUUUGAUUGAGCUUAGAUAUCUUCUCAAUCAUACUUGGUUUUCUGGUUUGUAAUCGAUUUGCUUGUUCCUAAAUCCUAGUUACAGUUACAUGCAACCUAAUAGAAAUUAAUACGGAAAGGAGUAUUUUGUGGACAUUAUUGCCGGGGACUUAUGGUAAAUUUAAAAAGUCUUGUUUCUAACUUGUAGUUUAUUGUAUAUUUUUGUGUAAAAUAUCAUUGUCAAUAGUGGAAUCAAAUACUAUCGAAUUUGUGCUAAGGCUUUUUGGUAGCAAAUGGGCACAACCAGUAGUGCCAGAAUCUGCAGCGUUACCUGCUGGCCAUUUGCAUAGUUUUGGAUUCAAGAUUAUCUCGAAGGUACUAUACUACUAUCACCUUUGUUUUUCUAAUUUUGGGUCUAUCUCAUUGUCCCUUUCUUUUGUGAAAUUGGUAAUUUGUAGUUUCUGUUUAAGGUUCACUACUUCUAUUGAUUUAAUUAAUAUAUAAUUGCUUAAGAUCGCUAAAAAUAUCAUUCUUGAAGAACUAGUUGAUUGUUUUGGUUAUAACACAAAUAGAAUCUGUAUGUGUUCUUCACUAUGGAUCUUAAUGUGUUGUCCUCGUUGUGAAGUGAAGGAAAUUUAUGGUUGAUUUAUAUUGUUUUGCGUGAAUUUGUAAUUGUUCAUUAAUAAGUUCAAAAUUACCAGUCACUACUUUGCAAAGUCUCCGGGUCUUCAGCUUAAAACUUGAACAAAAGCUUCCACUUACAUAUUUUUAGAAAUAUCCUUGAAAGCUCGGGAGCAAAAUCAUUUAGAGUAGAAAAGGUCAUUAAAAGUAAAAAUCUAGACCUUUAAGAGCACCACUACAUCCAAUAUUUUCAGUGAAUCCUCAAGCAAACACAGAUCAUGAAGCUGAAAAAUUGAUUGUUUAACACACUAUGUUGUAAACUCAUCUCUGAAAACUCAUAUAUUCAGCAGAAGCCACAAAAAAGGCUGGAACACAUCAUUUCCCGCUUAUUUUAACUUUGAUUGUUAUCUUUACAUAUUUAUCAUAGCUUUUCGAUACUACGCGUUAAAAAUUUUUAGGCGAAAUUGUCUAGUUUGUAAGUUCAUCUCUAGGAACCUUCCAUUGACAUCUCUGAUGCUAUUUAAAAAUUACUAAACUGAAUUUCCUACUUUCCUAUACUUAUUAAUUUAACUUGAUAUUGAGUCCUCAGAAAUCAUGAAAAGUACCUAUAUGCCUAUUAUGAUAAUGAAGAAAUAUAGUACCACACGGUAGUGCUAUAAUUUCCCUCAUAUUUCUUCUUAAACUUUAGGUUCUGGAAAAUAUAUAUUGUGCAGAAAUAACUUACAUGUAAAUGUAUAGUAGUGAUAAGUUAAAAUUUUCAGCGAAAGCUAAUAGCAGGUAGUGAUGCAUAUGGUAUUACAAUUUUACAGAACCAUACUUUACAAAUUAGAGGGAAUAAUUUUGUUGUUACGUUCUCCAUUUUUUGCCUACUAUAUUAUCUAGCAAGUUAAAUCAAAGAAUUCUAACAGGGGAAUUGAAUUCAACUCUUUGCAAUGCUUUUAUUCUAAAUUUCAACAACAACAACAACAAUAACGACCCAGUAUAAUCCCACAAGUGGGGUCUGGGGAGGGUAAUAUGUACGCAGACCUUACCCCUACCCCGAAGGGUAGAGAGGCUGUUUUCAGGAGACCCUUGGCUCAAAAAAGCAACAGGAACCGAUAUAUUAGUACCAUAAAAAUGCAUAAUAAAAUAACAACAAUAUAAGAGAUAUGAAAUACAGAAUUUGUGAUAAGAAUAUGCUAAAUUUAAUCGCUAGAAAUUACUUAUUGAGACUAAUUGACGGAUAUGAAUAUGCGAAAUCGGAUAUGAAACUAACCAUGUGAGUUUGUUAGGUUUUGAUUUUAAGUUUGAAACCAUGAGAUUUUCCUUGUUCGAUCUUUGCUAUCGAUGUUCGAUGUCGUUGUCUUGGUUAUUCUGAAUCGUUUCGCUGCUCCUUUUUUCUUUCUCUAGUAAUAUUUUUGAUAAACACAUUCUUUUACUUCUGUCCGAUUAUGCUUGUGCUGCUUUCACUUAAAAUGAAAGGAACUAUGGAUUUAAGACAUGGAAGCACCUAAUACGAUGAACUUAUAAGUUUGUAUUUAUGGUCCAAUUGAAAUCAGAGUUGCGGCUCGUGGCUGCUGUUUUUUCCCUUCUUCUUCUACUUCACUGCUACUAGUUUUUUGCAUCUUUCACUUGCUUAUUGCUGCUGUUGCUGCUGUUUUUUCUUCUUUUACUGCUUUUUCUUUGUCGAAAAACUAUGCAUACUUAGCUCAUUGUUGCUAUUUUACCCCUUCGUUUUCUACUUCACUGCUGCUAUGUUUUGCGUCUUUCACUUGCUUGUUGCUGCUGCUGCUAUUGUUUUUCCUUCUUUUACCCAAUUAUGGCUUAGGUACUCCAUCAUAUUUCUUAUUAAAGGAAAGUGUUUAGGACGAUAGAUCAUCAUGAUCUAUUUAGUACCAUAAAUAUUAAACAAAUCGGGACAUCAUUAAGUGAAAACUAAUUUGCUUGGAAUAAAAAUGUUUCCAGACCAACGAUACUCUGCAAGUUCAAUAUAGUUGCUGAACCAACUCCAAUUCUAAAUGAUCAAAGGAAACUUCACUUGUUAUAACUUCUUAUAGAAUAAUGAUGUUUUGAGCAGGUUAAAAUUUUUGGGAUAGUCGUAUUUACAAAGGAAACUCUGCCGAAAAUUCUAGGAAUUUAGAGAGUUAGAAAAUUUGUCAUUCAAUUAUCUUAAAAAAAAUUGUUUAAUUGUUUCUUAUUGUCUUUUGUAGGUGCAAAGAUUGCGGAUGAAACCAGUGAAGUAGACCUUACUUGAAAGUUCUAUUAUCAUGUUCAAUAUUUUAGUUUAGAACUUUUUGUAUGCAAACUCAUCUAUUUUGACUUUUGAAUUGUUGAUCAAACAAUGUAUUCAUAUUUUGUUUUUGUAUAUGGAUAAAGCUAGUUGAAUAUUUUUAUUUUAUUUCGUGGUUUAUAUAAUUUAUGGUGUAUUAAAUUACAUUGCAUAGGAAAAUAUUCCUCAUUUUGCUUCAAUAAAUAUCAAAAAUGAUAAUUGUGAAUUGUUGCAAUAGAGAAUCCAACCGUUCCAAUAGACCUAAAAAUAAUAACAGGAGCCCCUA
rnacentral:lncRNA from 1 species